UACGUAGGGUGCGAGCGUUAAUCGGAAUUACUGGGCGUAAAGCGUGCGCAGGCGGUUUUGUAAGCCAGAUGUGAAAGCCCCGGGCUUAACCUGGGAAUGGCAUUUGGGACUGCAAGGCUUGAGUGCGGCAGAGGAGACUGGAAUUCCUGGUGUAGCGGUGAAAUGCGUAGAUAUUGGGAGGAACACCAGUGGCGAAGGCGGCUCGCUGGACCGGUUCUGACGCUGAGGCGCGAAAGCGUGGGGAGCAAACGGG
rnacentral:rRNA from 1 species